rnacentral:rRNA from 1 species
CGGUGUCUUCGGACAUAGUGGCGCACGGGUGCGUAACACGUAUGCAACCUACCUUACAUUGGGGGAUAGCCUUUCGAAAGGGAGAUUAAUACCGCAUAAGACAGUAGCUGGGCAUCCAGCAGCUGUUAAAGAUUUAUCGAUGUAAGAUGGGCAUGCGUCCAAUUAGUUAGUUGGCGAGGUAACGGCUCACCAAGACUUUGAUUGGUAGGGGAACUGAGAGGUCAAUCCCCCACACUGGCACAGAGAUACGGGCCAGACUCCUACGGGAGGCAGCAGUAGGGAAUAUUGGGCAAUGGACGCAAGUCUGACCCAGCCAUGCCGCGUGCAGGAUGAAGGCGUUAUGCGUUGUAAACUGCUUUUAUACAGGAAGAAACGACUCUUGCGAGAGGCAUUGACGGUACUGUAUGAAUAAGCACCGGCUAACUCCGUGCCAGCAGCCGCGGUAAUACGGAGGGUGCAAGCGUUGUCCGGAUUUAUUGGGUUUAAAGGGUGCGC